rnacentral:rRNA from 1 species
UACAGAGGUCUCAAGCGUUGUUCGGAUUCAUUGGGCGUAAAGGGUGCGUAGGCGGCGCCGUAAGUCGGAUGUGAAAUCUCAGGGCUCAACCCUGAAACUGCAUUCGAUACUGCGGUGCUUGAGGACUCGAGAGGAGAUUGGAAUUCACGGUGUAGCAGUGAAAUGCGUAGAUAUCGUGAGGAAGACCAGUGGCGAAGGCGGAUCUCUGGAGAGUUCCUGACGCUGAGGCACGAAGGCCAGGGGAGCAAACGGG